CAAGUUGAACGAGAAGUUUCUUUGGGAAAUCUUCGGAAGGAAAAAGGAAAUGAAAAGUAGCGGACGGGUGAGUUACGCGUGAGAAACCUGCUUCACACAAGGGGAUAGCCAUUGGAAACGGUGAUUAAUACCCUAUGACAUGGACGCUUCGCAUGGAGCAGCCAUUAAAGUGUUAGCGGUGUGAGAUGGUCUCGCGUCUGAUUAGCUAGUUGGUGAGAUAACAGCUCACCAAGGCGACGAUCAGUAGCCGGCUUGAGAGAGUGAACGGCCACACUGGAACUGAGACACGGUCCAGACUCCUACGGGAGGCAGCAGUGGGGAAUAUUGCACAAUGGAGGAAACUCUGAUGCAGCGACGCCGCGUGAGCGAAGAAGGCCUUCGGGUUGUAAAGCUCUGUCCUUGGUGAAGAUAAUGACGGUACUUGAGGAGGAAGCCCCGGCUAACUACGUGCCAGCAGCCGCGGUAAUACGUAGGGGGCUAGCGUUAUCCGGAUUUACUGGGCGUAAAGGGUGCGUAGGUGGUUUCUUAAGUCAGGAGUGAAAGGCUACGGCUCAACCGUAGUAAGCUCUUGAAACUGGGAAACUUGAGUGCAGGAGAGGAAAGUGGAAUUCCUAGUGUAGCGGUGAAAUGCGUAGAUAUAUGGAGGAACACCAGUGGCGAAGGCGGUUCUCUGGGCUCACAUUGACGCUGAGGCUCGAAAGCGUGGGGAGCGAACAGGAUUAGAUACCCUGGUAGUCCACGCCGUAAACGAUGAGUGCUAAGUGUUGGGGGGCUUCCACCCCUCAGUGCUGGCGUUAACGCAAUAAGCACUCCGCCUGG
rnacentral:rRNA from 1 species